rnacentral:rRNA from 1 species
UCGAGGAUCUUCGGCAAUGGGCGCAAGCCUGACCGAGCGACGCCGCGUGUGCGAUGAAGGCCUUCGGGUUGUAAAGCACUGUCGAGGGGGAGGAAAGCCGCAAGGCCUGACCUAUCCCUGGAGGAAGCACGGGCUAAGUUCGUGCCAGCAGCCGCGGUAAGACGAACCGUGCGAACGUUGUUCGGAAUCACUGGGCUUAAAGGGCGCGUAGGCGGACUGCCAAGUCCGGGGUGAAAUCUUUCGGCUCAACCGGAAAAUAGCCUCGGAGACUGGCGGUCUGGAGGGAGGUAGGGGCAGCUGGAACUUCCGGUGGAGCGGUGAAAUGCGUUGAUAUCGGAAGGAACGCCGGUGGCGAAAGCGAGCUGCUGGACCUUUUCUGACGCUGAGGCGCGAAAGCCAGGGGAGCAAACGGGAUUAGAUACCCCGGUAGUCC